UACGAAGGGGGCUAGCGUUGCUCGGAAUUACUGGGCGUAAAGCGCGCGCAGGCGGUCUUCCAAGUCAGUGGUGAAAGCCCGGAGCUCAACUCCGGAACUGCCAUUGAAACUGUUAGACUUGAGGACGAGAGAGGUGAGUGGAAUUCCCAGUGUAGAGGUGAAAUUCGUAGAUAUUGGGAAGAACACCGGUGGCGAAGGCGGCUCACUGGCUCGUUUCUGACGCUCAGGCGCGACAGCGUGGGGAUCAAACAGG
rnacentral:rRNA from 1 species